rnacentral:rRNA from 1 species
UACGAAGGGGGCUAGCGUUGCUCGGAAUUACUGGGCGUAAAGCGCGCGUAGGCGGACCUCCUAGUCGGGGGUGAAAGCCCGGGGCUCAACCUCGGAACUGCCUUCGAUACUGCGUGUCUUGAGUCCGGGAGAGGUGUGUGGAACUCCUAGUGUAGAGGUGAAAUUCGUAGAUAUUAGGAAGAACACCAGUGGCGAAGGCGGCUCACUGGCCCGUUACUGACGCUGAGGCGCGAAAGCGUGGGGAGCAAACAGG